rnacentral:rRNA from 1 species
GAUGAACGCUGGCGGCGUGCCUAAUACAUGCAAGUCGAGCGAACAGACGAGGAGCUUGCUCCUCUGACGUUAGCGGCGGACGGGUGAGUAACACGUGGAUAACCUACCUAUAAGACUGGGAUAACUUCGGGAAACCGGAGCUAAUACCGGAUAAUAUAUUGAACCGCAUGGUUCAAUAGUGAAAGACGGUUUUGCUGUCACUUAUAGAUGGAUCCGCGCCGCAUUAGCUAGUUGGUAAGGUAACGGCUUACCAAGGCAACGAUGCGUAGCCGACCUGAGAGGGUGAUCGGCCACACUGGAACUGAGACCCGGUCCAGACUCCUACGGGAGGCAGCAGUAGGGAAUCUUCCGCAAUGGGCGAAAGCCUGACGGAGCAACGCCGCGUGAGUGAUGAAGGUCUUCGGCUCGUAAAACUCUGUUAUUAGGGAAGAACAAAUGUGUAAGUAACUAUGCACGUCUUGACGGUACCUAAUCAGAAAGCCACGGCUAACUACGU